rnacentral:rRNA from 1 species
ACGAACGCUGGCGGCAUGCCUAACCCCUGCCAGUCGAACGCGACCUUCGGGUCUAGUGGCGCACGGGUGCGUAACGCGUGGGAACCUGCCCUUAGGUUCGGAAUAACUCCCCGAAAGGGGUGCUAAUACCGGAUAAUGUCUUCGGACCAAAGAUUUAUCGCCUUUGGAUGGGCCCGCGUUGGAUUAGCUAGUUGGUAGGGUAAAAGCCUACCAAGGCGACGAUCCAUAGCUGGUCUGAGAGGAUGAUCAGCCACACUGGGACUGAGACACGGCCCAGACUCCUACGGGAGGCAGCAGUGGGGAAUAUUGGACAAUGGGCGAAAGCCUGAUCCAGCAAUGCCGCGUGAGUGAUGAAGGCCUUAGGGUUGUAAAGCUCUUUUACCCGGGAUGAUAAUGACAGUACCGGGAGAAUAAGCUCCGGCUAACUCCGUG